ACGGUCUUGCUGUCACUUAUAGAUGGAUCCGCGCUGCAUUAGCUAGUUGGUAAGGUAACGGCUUACCAAGGCAACGAUGCAUAGCCGACCUGAGAGGGUGAUCGGCCACACUGGAACUGAGACACGGUCCAGACUCCUACGGGAGGCAGCAGUAGGGAAUCUUCCGCAAUGGGCGAAAGCCUGACGGAGCAACGCCGCGUGAGUGAUGAAGGUCUUCGGAUCGUAAAACUCUGUUAUUAGGGAAGAACAUAUGUGUAAGUAACUGUGCACAUCUUGACGGUACCUAAUCAGAAAGCCACGGCUAACUACGUGCCAGCAGCCGCGGUAAUACGUAGGUGGCAAGCGUUAUCCGGAAUUAUUGGGCGUAAAGCGCGCGUAGGCGGUUUUUUAAGUCUGAUGUGAAAGC
rnacentral:rRNA from 1 species